rnacentral:rRNA from 1 species
UACGGAGGGAGCUAGCGUUGUUCGGAAUUACUGGGCGUAAAGCGCGCGUAGGCGGCUUUGUAAGUUAGAGGUGAAAGCCCGGAGCUCAACUCCGGAAUUGCCUUUAAGACUGCAUCGCUUGAAUCAUGGAGAGGUGAGUGGAAUUCCGAGUGUAGAGGUGAAAUUCGUAGAUAUUGGGAAGAACACCGGUGGCGAAGGCGGCUCUCUGGACCGACACUGACGCUGAGGCGCGAAAGCGUGGGGAGCAAACAGG